AGUGAACGCUGGCGGUAGGCCUAACACAUGCAAGUCGAACGGCAGCACAGUAAGAGCUUGCUCUUACGGGUGGCGAGUGGCGGACGGGUGAGGAAUACAUCGGAAUCUACUUUUUCGUGGGGGAUAACGUAGGGAAACUUACGCUAAUACCGCAUACGACCUACGGGUGAAGGCAGGGGAUCUUCGGACCUUGCGCGAUUGAAUGAGCCGAUGUCGGAUUAGCUAGUUGGCGGGGUAAAGGCCCACCAAGGCGACGAUCCGUAGCUGGUCUGAGAGGAUGAUCAGCCACACUGGAACUGAGACACGGUCCAGACUCCUACGGGAGGCAGCAGUGGGGAAUAUUGGACAAUAGGCGCAAGCCUGAUCCAGCCAUACCGCGUGGGUGAAGAAGGCCUUCGGGUUGUAAAGCCCUUUUGUUGGGAAAGAAAAGCAGCAGGUUAAUACCCCGCUGUUCUGACGGUACCCAAAGAAUAAGCACCGGCUAACUUCGUG
rnacentral:rRNA from 1 species